rnacentral:rRNA from 1 species
GUAGUCUCGCACAGAUGCAUAUCAAUAAGCGGAGGAAAAGAAACUAACAAGGAUUCCCUUAGUAACGGACGAGUGAAGCGGGAAGAGCUCAAAUUUGAAAUCUUCAAGGUUUUACCUUGACGAAUUGUAGUUUAAAGAAGUGUUUUCUGUUGAAGGUUUUGGUAAAAGUUCUUUGGAAUAGGACAUCAUAGAGGGUGAGAAUCCCGUAUUUGACCUUUACUUUCAACUUUGUGAUACACUUUCAAAGAGUCGGAUUGUUUGGGAAUGCAGUCCAAAAUGGGUGGUAAAUUUCAUCUAAAGCUAAAUAUUGGCGAGAGACCGAUAGCGAACAAGUACCGUGAGGGAAAGAUGAAAAGAACUUUGAAAAGAGAGUUAAACAGUACGUGAAAUUGUCAAAAGGGAAGCGUUUGACACCAGUGUUGUUUUCUCGAAAAUCAAUUAAAAAGAGUUUGAUUUUGUUGUGUAUUGACCUUAACAGCUUGCAUUUCAAUUUUCUUGCUUUUUUUAAUGCACUUUUCGUUUAACAAGUCAACAUCAGUUUCUUUUGUUGUAAAAAGGUCAUUGGAAGGUGGCUUUCUUUUCGGAGAAAGUGUUUAUAGCCUUUGACUCCUGCAAUCGGAGAGACUGAGGUCUGCAGCGUAGAUCCUUCGGGGCUAGAAUGCAUUUGUGCUAAGUUAUAGCAUUUUAUAGACAACUUGUUGACUAUGAUUUGUCUUGUAGCUUACUCGCUUAUGUUAUUUUACCUACGCUUAGGAUGUUGAUGUGAUACUGCGAGCA